rnacentral:rRNA from 1 species
UACAGAGGGGGCAAGCGUUGUUCGGAAUUACUGGGCGUAAAGGGCGCGUAGGCGGCCUGUUAAGUCGAACGUGAAAUCCCCGGGCUCAACCCGGGAACUGCGUCCGAUACUGGCAGGCUUGAAUCCGGGAGAGGGAUGCGGAAUUCCAGGUGUAGCGGUGAAAUGCGUAGAUAUCUGGAGGAACACCGGUGGCGAAGGCGCAUCCUGGACCGGGCAUUGACGCUGAGGAGCGAAAGCCAGGGGAGCAAACAGG